AACAAUGGAAAAUCAAAUGGAAAAUUUAUCUAAUUUUCAUCCCGAGAAAAACUGCAAGAGCCUCAACAGUAACGCAGUCACUGAGAUAUGCUGCGGACAGAUAUGAUGUAGGAGGUUUCCUGGUACCUACGCACUCUGCGUCACCAGAAGAAACAUCAUAUUGCAUAAUCAACUCUAAAUACUUGCAAUGACUGUGUAAGAGGUUGACGAAUAUCACAGCACUCGAGCUGGACUCUGCAUGGGUAUUUCAACACUGCAUGCUGCACGAAUCCACGAACCUGCCCCUCAGUUUAAACAAAUGUUUGAAAUGCAUCUUUCAUGGGUGGAAAUGCUGCGUGGGACGAUGACGGAACGACGUGUUAAGAUUUACUCACGUGGGUGUGUACCUUUACGCUCUGAUGGGUUUUCAGCAACCAUUUUGGGUGGGGAAACACCGAAAUCCACAGUGUAAGGAUUAUGUCUCUCUCAGGAGUUAUUACCGAUAUCUUCGCAUCUUUCAAGUUUUUUGGAGAAACCGCUGAUAAAAUUGACGUGAAAAAAUAUAACGUGACGUGAAAAAAUAUAUACACCGUUUUAUUGUUAUUCAAUGUCUCACGAAGUUUUAAUCGCUGGGUUAAAACAGUUUAUUUUUCACGUUAAUCUGAUCUAGGACUUCCCAGAAAUUUACAAAAACCAUGAAAAAGUACGAGACGAUUUCCGAAAUUAAAAACAGAUUUCCUUGAUUUUUUGUAAAUGUUUAUUCAGUUCAACUGAAACCUCUAGUAAUAUCAAAUGGAUACUUCUUU